CCAACUGUUAUCAUGGAGCCCAGUUGGUAACUUCCCUUAUUUUAGAAAUGUAGCAAUCUCUGUGAAGCCCCAGCUCAAGGUCAGAGGCCUUGUUUACAUAUUUUUGUGAAAAACUAGUAAAGGGGUGUCUAGCAUUUGGAGUGCUGAUUUUUUUCUAUCCAGUGGAAAGUGGCCAAGUAAAACAGGGCAACAUGAAAAGAGGAAGUUUAUCUACAUUAAACUUUUUGUAGAGACUCUUUUACUGACAGUCCUAAAAUCAGCCAUGGUGAAGACUUCUGGAGAAGGUCAGUUAAGACUCUUCUAUGGGCCUGGGUAGGGAGGGGGAAGAUGGGAAGGUGGGGCUGAGAGCAGCUCGGGUGGAUCUGAGAAUGAGGAAGGAGAUGUUAUAGAAUAAUGGGAAAGGGAUUUGGGAUUUUCCCUAGCAAGGAAAACUUGAGCAGUAUAACAGGUAGAGCAGAGGCGAAGACAGGAGCAAAUAUCCCAAAAAGCCUGUAAGGGACUUGAAUUCUCAGUAACCUGUUUUCAGUGAUGGCAAAGCAACUUUAAACUUUAAAGCCAUUUUCACCAGAUCUCGGAUAGGGGUCCAAGGGCUCUCCUUAGCUCGUCUGAGCUUUGGGUUAGCUGGUAAGAGGGCUUGGUGGGACCGGGUAUGGGCACUGACAGGAGAAGAGAGGAGUGAGCGGAUGGAGGGAUACCUUCAGUAGCUGCUAUCUCAGCAAGGGGGCAAAGGUCUGAGGAAGGGCGGUGGUUUGGGUUUUUGAUCUAGUAAUUGGAGGGGAGAAAGCAGGUUAUUGAGGCAGGGGAGACGGGAGAAGGUGGAGGGGCUGGGGCAGAAGGUUGAGGGUGAGGACUAUUGGAGCCGGGCGAUAGGGUGGGGGUUCAUAAGCAGAGUCAUUGCCGGGUUUCUGUUCUCGUGACUAAAAGUCUCAGGGGUCACUCUAGUUNCAUGAAAUAAACACACAAGAGACACAAAUACCUUUUACUUUGGGGUUGCUGUGACGGCUCCUCUGACCUUAAGGGUCCGUAGAAAAGAGAGAGAGA
rnacentral:lncRNA from 1 species